ACUCCCCAAGGAUUACGGUUCUAGAGCAGGGAUCCAUCAGGCCACGCCCAGGUCGGCCUCCUGGUGGCGCCAUGUUGGUGCCCCGCCCACGUGACUGGCGCCAUUUUACAUCCGCCACCGCCUCCCCCCGUGCCUAGAAAAGCAGGCCUUGCUCGGAGCUUCCUGUUUCCUGUCGGGAAGACCUGCCCCUUCCCCAGUGAUUGGCAAAUAACGCCUGUGGCCUCCCACCCACUCCGUGCGAAGCCUGAAGAAUUUCCUCGUGGGAAUGGAGCAAUUGGCAGCUCAUGGGACAACCAGCUGAAAAUAAUGAGAAGUCUCUUAAAAUCAAUGGCAUUUUGAAAAGGACAGUGGAUCAGCAGGAAGAAGUCGUAGCUGUAGAUUAAACUUCACCAGCGGUCAUACCGCAAUGAAGAGUCAAGGACAAGGGCUCUCGCAGCUGGGAGGAAUAAACCUGGAGCUCCCCAGGCGAACACCGGGCUGAUGAGCUGUAAGCGUAGCAGUCUUCACCUUCAGCUGCACACGUGGAAUCCAGCUCAUGAGCGUUCUUGGAAGACCAGCCCCUUGCAGUCCAGGACCCGGAGGCUGCCCAUUCCCCUUCCCCACCCAUCCACAUCUGUGCACUGAAGUCUUCAGGGGCUAACUUACCCUCCAGGCAUUUAAAAGUUCCUUCAGCAUUUCCUAAUGAAAUGACUGUGUA